rnacentral:lncRNA from 1 species
UUGGCUCACUCCUUGGUCCGCACCAAUCCUCACAUCCCUCACGUCCUCUAACUUUUACGGCUGUAUCCCGAAAUCGCGUCUUUGGUCUCAACGGCUCCAGAAGGCUCGCUCUUCAAGAAAUGUUCCACUACCUUCAGAUAGAUGUGGAUACAUACAUGGUUUUGGCCUAAAGAAAUCUUUGCAAAAAGGGAGAAUACAUACUUGUUCUUUUCCUUGGAUUUACGGAGUGCCAGUAUCAGGUGUGGUUCCGGGUUCCAGAUAGGGCUGUGGUGAGGUCCCUAGUCGACAACCACAAGCCCAAUUGCCUCUUCUUCUGAAACGGAGUCUAUUGAGGAGGAGUCUCUGAAAAUGACAGCUGAUGGGUGUAGAGACCCACGCCCGGAAUCUCAGCAACUGAAGUGGCUGAAGCAGGAGCAUGUAGGCAGAGCUCGUAAGCAUCUCCGGCUUCUGAUUUUGUUGCUGGUUUUCUUUCUCAUAGUUUUGGUUUUCUUUCUCAGAGGCUUUCUGGUGCACCUAGGCUGUGCCAGCUCCUUACAGCCCUCCUUCAGCGCUCCAGCUUUUUGCCUAUGCAGUCUCUGCUCCUAGCCUUUCAUAACUAAUAAACUUUAAAAUUUAUAAAUUCCGACAAAUAAAA